CGAAACCAGCCAAUGGGAAGCGGGUAGUGGCGGAGAUUGGCACCGAGGAUGGGAAGUUGCCUCCUGUAAGGACAGCAGACAACUACCUCUUCUGGAUGGACCGGAGGGUCUGGAAGAUGGGAGGAGGGCUCCUGAUGGGAGAGAAAUGAGCAGAGGCUCAUGGACUGCACCUGUGUGGCUUUGCAGGUGAAAGGAGUGAAGCAAAGGAGAGCAAGGAUCAAAGCCAGGCCAGGAGCUGUUCAGCCUGGACUCCGCCCCGCCGGAUACAGCACCCAGGAGGAGGGAGGGCUGGUUAAACCGGGGUCAGCACACUGUGACCUGCCAGCCAAAUCUGGCCUGCCUCUGCUUUUUAUGUGACUCACAUGCUAAGAAUGGUUUUUACCUUUUUAAAUGGCUGGAGAAAAAACUUCAAAAGAAGAAUAUUUUGUGAUGCGUAAAAAUGGUAGAAAACUCAAAUUUCGGUGUCCAUAAAUAAAGCCUUAUUGGAACAGA